AAAUUGAAGAGUUUGAUCAUGGCUCAGAUUGAACGCUGGCGGCAGGCCUAACACAUGCAAGUCGAACGGUAACAGGAAGCAGCUUGCUGCUUUGCUGACGAGUGGCGGACGGGUGAGUAAUGUCUGGGAAACUGCCUGAUGGAGGGGGAUAACUACUGGAAACGGUGGCUAAUACCGCAUAACGUCGCAAGACCAAAGAGGGGGACCUUCGGGCCUCUUGCCAUCAGAUGUGCCCAGAUGGGAUUAGCUGGUAGGUGAGGUAACGGCUCACC
rnacentral:rRNA from 1 species